GAUGAACGCUAGCGGCAGGCUUAACACAUGCAAGUCGAGGGGUAUAGGGAGCUUGCUUCCUAGAGACCGGCGCACGGGUGCGUAACGCGUAUGCAAUCUACCUUUUGCAGAGGGAUAGCCCAGAGAAAUUUGGAUUAAUACCUCAUAGUAUGUGAGAAUGGCAUCAUUUUCACAUUAAAGUCACAACGGCAAAAGAUGAGCAUGCGUCCCAUUAGCUUGUUGGUAAGGUAACGGCUUACCAAGGCAACGAUGGGUAGGGGUCCUGAGAGGGAGAUCUCCCACACUGGUACUGAGACACGGACCAGACUCCUACGGGAGGCAGCAGUGAGGAAUAUUGGACAAUGGGCGCAAGCCUGAUCCAGCCAUGCCGCGUGCAGGAAGAAGGUCCUAUGGAUUGUAAACUGCUUUUAUACAGGAAGAACACCUCUACGUGUAGAGACUUGACGGUACUGUAUGAAUAAGGACCGGCUAACUCCGUG
rnacentral:rRNA from 1 species